UACAGAGGGGGCAAGCGUUAAUCGGAAUUACUGGGCGUAAAGGGCGCGUAGGUGGUUGUGUAAGUGAGAUGUGAAAUCCCCGGGCUUAACCUGGGAACUGCGUCUUAUACUGCGUAGCUUGAGUACAAUAGAGGGUAGUGGAAUUUCCGGUGUAGCGGUGAAAUGCGUAGAUAUCGGAAGGAACACCAGUGGCGAAGGCGGCUACCUGGAUUGAUACUGACACUGAGGCGCGAGAGCGUGGGGAGCAAACAGG
rnacentral:rRNA from 1 species